GAUGAAGAACGUAGCAAAAUGCGAUACUUGGUGUGAAUUGCAGAAUCCCGUGAACCAUCGAGUUUUUGAACGCCAGUUGCGCCAGAAGCCUGUUGGCCGAGGGCACGUCUGCCUGGGCGUCACGCAUCGCGUCGCCCCCCACAAAGUCUCCGUCAGGGGAGCUUGUGUUUCGGGGGCGGAUACUGGUCUCCCGUGCUCAUGGCGCGGUUGGCCGAAAUAGGAGUCCCUUCGAUGGACGCACGAACUAGUGGUGGUCGUAAAAACCCUCGUCUUUUGUUUCGUGCCGUUAGUCGCGAAGGUAGCUCUUCAAAAACCCCAACGCGUCGUCUCUUGACGGCGCUUCGACCGCGACCCCAGGUCAGGCGGGACUACCCGCUGAGUUUAAGCAUAUCAAUAAGCGGAGGA
rnacentral:misc_RNA from 1 species